rnacentral:rRNA from 1 species
UGCGCAGGCGGCCAUGUGUGUCAGGUGUGAAAUACCGGGGCUUAACCCCCGGAACUGCGCCUGAAACUACAUGGCUAGAGUACUGGAGAGGGUAGUGGAAUUCACGGUGUAGCAGUGAAAUGCGUAGAUAUCGUGAGGAACACCAGAGGCGAAGGCGACUACCUGGACAGUUACUGACGCUCAGGCACGAAAGCGUGGGGAGCCAAAGGGAUUAGAUACCCCUGUAGUCCACGCCCUAAACGGUGCACACUAGGUCUUGGCGGAUUCGACCCCGCCAGGGCCCAAGCUAACGCGUUAAGUGUGCCGCCUGAGGACUACGGCCGCAAGGCUAAA